rnacentral:rRNA from 1 species
AACGGGUGAAGCCGGGCACUCUGGCGGGACUGGCCAUCGCAAGAUGGAGGAAGGUGGGGAGUGAGUCAAGUCAUCAUGGCCCUUAUGUCCAGGGCGGACACACGUGCUACAAUGGCCGGCACAGCGGGAAGCGAGGCAGUGAUGCCAAGCGGAUCCCUUAAAGCCGGUCUCAGUUCGGAUUGAAGUCUGCAACUCGACUUCAUGAAGCUGGAAUCGCUAGUAAUCGCAGAUCAGCCAAGCUGCGGUGAAUACGUUCCCGGGCCUU